UGCAGGCCGCCCUCAGCCCAACCCUGCGGCGCUCGGGGCUUCAGCGGGAUCUCCAGAGCAGAUUUAGAAUAUGGAGGAAAGCUGGGACUAGAACAGGCUUCCAAAAAAAGUUGCGGUACCCCUCCAAGCACGACUGGAAAAGCAGCUAUCCUAAGUGAAGGGAUGUGGUGGAGGAGAGGCUCAGCACUGAGGCUGCCUGAGCCUGGCACACUGGCUGCGUCCAGCUUUUGCAGGAGAAGGGAAAUGGCCGUGUGACUGCAUCACAGCAUUACCUGUGUCUGCACUUACCUGCCUGAAACUAUUCUGACUGACUGCCUUAAACCAAAGGAGGCUGGCGAGACACAGGAAAGAGAAGGAAAUGAAACUACGAUGGUGAUAAAGCCUACUAAUACCAACAUUCCUUCAGGGGGAUCGGUGGAGAGCGAGGCACUGGAAUAAAUGCUGCCUGCCUGCUGCCAGAAGGGUGACAAGCUGUUUUACCAAGGCCAGCAACGAAUACAAAAGGAUAUUAAAAAGAUAUUAAACCCUCCCCCAGCACAGAUGAAAGGGCUGGGGACUGGGGGUAUGGAAAAGAGCUCAGAGCAGCUUCUUAAGAAGAAACAUUACUGGACUUGCAGCUGCACCUGGGUGUCCCAGCAGGGGAUUUCAGGGGCUUGUCUAAGCUGCUGAAAAGGUGAAAAAGGGGAAGACCCAAGCACCAACACCUCCCUCAGGCUCAGGCUUGUCUCCUGGUUUGUGGCAGGUUUCUGGCUGUACUGCCAACUAUUCUGCCCCAAAGGGAGAGUUUCAGCUGCCCACUACAGGCUGUUUGGAGGGGAAGGGAUUGGCAGGCAAUGUUCAAAGACAGCAGUCCUGUUUAAAUGCCAACACUGGGAGUAGGGUGGGCGAGACAGGCAGGGGGUGCCAGCCCAGUCACAGGGCAGUGAACAUAGCAGCAGCCCUCAUCUCCUGAGCUUGUGCCCUGGGAGAAAUGUCAAAGCUGGAUUGGGGAGGGACACUGCUCCCUUACCUGGAAUGAUGUCUGGCAUUUUUUUCCCCCUCCAGACAUCCUUUACUAGACAAGUCACUACCACCUUUCCCAACAAACCUCAUCUCAUUUGUAAUCCUUAGGCUGCCAUGGCCACAGCAUCACUGCUGCAGCAUCACUGCAGUACCUGUGUACAAGGGGCAGGUGGCCCUGGGAGAGGCCACAGGGGGAGAGCAAGCCCAGGUGCACCACAGGCUGGAGCUGUCUGCCCACUGAAACUGCCCAGGCGGCUGUUACUGAAAUUUAAUUUGCCUGGUGCAUUCCAUGGACAUUUUAAUCAGCAUUUCCUACAAUCUACUUGGCAAAGAGGCUCGAUUGGCAGCUGCCUGACUGAAUGGGCUUUGCACCCAGUCUAACCUUCUCCAUUUGCAAUUUCCAGUGCUGGAAAACCUCUCUGUCUCACUUUCAGAAGUUUCUAUAGCAAUCACAACUAUCCUAGUGAAGCACUGGAAAUGGCAGCCCAUUCAGAUUGUAAUUUUUCUGGACAGUGAUUGCUUCUCUCUCCACUGGCCCCUGAAAUGUUACUUUUUGGGAGACAUCAACUGCAACUGGAGAACACUGGUCCUCUGCCUGUGUUUCCAACCAACUUUGCUCCCCCUGCCCCCGUGAGGAACUUUGUUAACUGCUUACAGUGUGUGAACCUCAAUUAGCAAGGAAGUGUUGCUGGGCACAUCAUACCUCAGCUACAGGAAAGACCUGACAUGAGUGAUGCUCUUAACAGGCCUGCAGGAACAAACCUCACCACCCAGCACAUCAUGUUGUGACCUGAACAUUAUCCAUCACUGCAUGUAGAAAAAGUUACACAAGUGUGUUUGCCUUUGCUAAUUGUAAAAAACCAGAGCACUCAAAGCUUUUUUCUUCAUGUCAAUGAGCUUACUUUUCCUGGUUUGGUUGACUUCAGCUUAAACAAUCACUUGAUCUUUUGUUCCAUGCUUCAUUUUUCAGUGGUUGUGAUUGCUCUUAAUUACUGUGACACUGAAGAACCAUGUGCUAAAAAUACAUUAAGUAACUUCUUGCAAUAAGAAAAUGUGGUAGAAUUAUCCCACCGCUUGUGAAGAAAUCAGUUAACCAUUUCUUAAGCUCUUGUAAUAAUCUUCCCCUAUACUUUUACGGCUAUUGUUGCCUGCUGGAAAAAAAUAGCUUAAAGCUGAGUAAGGGGAAUUGUGGAUAAGUGUUUGCAAUUUGGCUUUGGACUGACAGAGUGUGGUUGCACUCAGAGAAUUUGAAGUCUUUGCACUGGCAGCAGUACUCAAAUCUGGAAAUAUAGGAUUCACAUUGGAAAAGAGUGGAUUUUUAUAACGAUUUAAAUGAACAAUUUCAGCUAGAGAGUGGAUUAACAGAGCCAACUAAACCCUUCACCCUGACAAAGAACUGGCGGGAGGACUAUAGAAACACAUCCAAAAUUUUACCAACAUGAAUGCAGAGUACUAGGUCAGUGAGAAGCAUUUCUGUAUUUUAAUGGCUCUCUUAGAAAUCAAUUCAAUUUAAAACAAAAGUUGUUUUACAAAUAUGUGGAGCAUGCAGAAGGCUGGAGAGGGAGCAAGUGGCCUGCAUCCUCCAUCUGCUCUAUCCUCUCUCUCCUCUCGCACUAGGAACUGCUACUGCAAGUCCCCCUUCUGGGCAGACAGAGGCAAAAGCAGGCAGUGCCCCAAAGCCAAGCGUCAGAAAUGUCUCCCUUUCUGCAGAUGUGUGGGUGUAUCCCCAGACCCCACACCCUGUCUUUCCUGUAUGCCAGAGCUCUUGAGGCCCAAAGCCAAGCAGCAGGAAACUCUAAGCCCAGGGGUCUUGGGGAAGCUGAGACACAAAAACCUGUGCUUCUCCAUCAGAAAUGAGGUUACAGAACAAGAGAAUAUUAAGUAUUCCAUGAUGAGGAGCAAUCCACUGACAAGAGAUGGACAUGUUGGGGAUUGCUCAUCUCUGAGAGGAAAUGGAUCAGUGUGACACAAGAGAAGCAACAAAGGCAGAUUGGCAAAACCUGUUCUUGAAGAAUUUCAGAAGAGGCAGAAAAGCUAAGGGACUUUUUUUGAGCAAAAUUUCUUAUUAAGCCCCACCAGCUUACUGCUGCAGGAUGUUUAAAGGAAAAACCAGGAUCUUAAAUUGAUCUGGAGAAGGGUCCAAUGUUUCCAUGAGUGACAAGGCAUGCAACCAUUGUUGAUGGUACAGAUUCACAAACCUGUGUGAAUCUGUAAUGGGAGAGUAAGACAUCCCAUUCUCAGUGCUCUUCUCAAACACUGGAUACCACAAUGCUGCAAGCAAGAUACUGGAGCAAGUUUGUUGCUUGACUUCCAAUUACAAUAUCCCUCUUCAAGAAAUGGGAAAAUAUAAUGUUUGCAGUAAAAGAUAGAGAAAUAGGCUCAAGGUUUAACCUUUCCUAAAAAUUUUACACUCCUGGUUUCUCAAGUCCUAACUGUGAAACACUGCUUGCCAUCUGCCAGAACUGGCACCCAUGGAGAAGUGCCGUGCUGCAGCAGCGCUCUCCCAUUCUCAGCACUCAGAGGUGCUCCUUCAGGGCACUUACACUGGGGAGCUGCAGUGAUCCUCAGACGCCCCCAGUGUGGGGGUUCUCUGCCAGCCUACAUGUUAACUAACUGCUUCCCCAGGCAAUUUUCCAAGCUGGGCAAAACCUGUAACAACUAACCAUGGAACUAAUUGGCUGACAGCAAAAGCCCAUCUUGAACAGUAAGAAUUCCAAAUUACAGUGGGGGGGGAAGCACUUUAAUUGUGGCUUGCAUACAGCUAUUUUGUCUCACCUUCAAGUUGUUGGAGGAAAGAGCCAGAGGUUGAAAAAAGGGUUCCAAGCCCAAAAAUUAGGGCUGCUGGCAGCAGUAACAGAGGCAGACAAGUCUAAACUACUUCUGAAUGAGGACCUCUCUGACAAGCCCCGGAUAUUCCAACCCAAAAGCUGAACCAUGUGUAGGGCAAUGGCUACAGCUUGCACAGGCAACCACAUGCCCAGAAACUGGCAGUACUGCCAGUCCAGGUUUGCCCCCUGGAUACUGAGAUUCAAGAGAAAAACAAGCACACUAAGUCAUGAAGAUCAAAGGGCUGGAGCACCUCUCCUAUGGAGGCUGAGAGAGGUGAGGUUGUUCAGCCUAGAGAAGGCUCCAGGGAGACCUUACAGCACCUUCCAGUACCUAAAGGGCGUUGCAAGAGACCUGGAAGGGGACUUUUUACAAGGGUAGUAACAGGACAAAGGGCUUUUAACUGAAAAGAGGGAGGGCUUAGAGUGGCUACUAGGAAUAAAUUCUUUACUGUGAGGGUGGUGAGGUGCUGGAACAGGUUUCCCAGAUCAGCUGUGGAUGCCCCAUCCCUGGCAGUGUUCCCAGACAGGCUGGAUAAGGCCUUGAGUAACCCGGUCUAGUGGGAGGUGUCCCUGCCCAUGGCAAGGGAGGUUGGGAUUAGAUGAUCUUAAAGGUCCAUUCCAACCCCUUAACAGUCUAUUAUUUUAAGUAACAGUGGGUCUGUCUAUCCAGAACACAUAUCUAAAACCAGCAUGAAUAAGUGACAAGUUUAUAAAAUCUGGAUUUAUUAAUUUUUAUUACAAGAUAAAUUCUUCACAAAUGACAGAUAGAUUUGACAGUGUUCAGUCUGUAAUAUAUUAGAUUCAAAAUGACAUAUUUUAAAAAAUAUUUUCUGUAUACAAGGAAAAUCCCAACAGAAUUUACAAAGCCACUGUAUUUCGCAUCUAUAGAAUCUGAGAUUGUUAUAAAUCUUAUGGGAAAUCUGUUAUUACAAGUAAAAUAAAAACCACACAAAUUGUUUACAAUUUUAAUCUCAAAUCUCUUUUUUUCCUUUAAAUAAAUUCUUAAAAUAGAUGCAUUAUUUAAAACAAAAUCACUACCACGAGGCACGUGGUGUUCAGUGGAUGACAUUAAUUCUGUAACCCAAACAAGAAGACUAAUCCACUCUGAGUAGCUAAAUUAAUUUUUUGCAGUAUUUACAUACUUUACUGAAGUAUUUUCAUCCCAGAGUCUCAGCAAGCAUCUUAGAAUAUUAAUGAGAAAAGCCUGGCAGCAUGCCAGAGUUAAAAAGUAAGAAAGUAACAUCAUUCCCAUUUUUUCAACAGGGAAACUGAGGCACCAGGUGUAUUCAGACCCAGGCAAUUGCAGAAAGAAAAAUCCCAAUCUUAAUUCUGUUAGCUAUGUCUUGAUAGAGAGACUCUUCUUCCUCCUUGUUACAUGGCUGGUGACUGUGCUGGGCACUGUUUGAAACCUGGUCAGUUGCUUUUUUUCAUGCUUAGAUUGCUGCAAAAUAGGUGCCAUCUAUCCAGCUGUGGUGUCAUCACGAACACCUUUACUAAAAGAAAAGCCAUUAAUGGUUUUCCUCUUCAGAUUGAAAACCAGCAACAGCAAAAAGUGCAUCUUCAAUCCCUCUAAAGCCUCUGGAAGGCUGUCUUGUCCUACCCAAAAUACUGCAAUUGUUCCCUCAAUCAGCACAGAAACAAAUACUGAAAAUGGUAACUCUGAAAAACAGAAUUCCCUAUUUAUUAUUUUAAAAAAAAAGUUAAAUUUUUGGGUAUUGUGAACAUUCUUUGGUCAAUUAAGUAUUUGAAAGAAGUUAGUUGUGAGAUUCUCAGCCAGGAUGUGAACUUUAGAAAACACGAAGUGUUUCACAUGGUCCAUAAUCCCCAGGAUUUUAAUAAAUAACACAUCAAUAAAGGUCACUUGAAAAGACCUUUAAAAAUAACUUGUCAAUAAUGUUUCCUAAAUGACUAAAAGAAAUAAAAACUUGAUGCAGAUCUGAGAUGACAUGAAUUCACAAAUUAAGAAAACCCUAAAAAGCCAGGACUUAAUCUCUGGACAGAAGUAUCCACCACAAGCAUCCAGCAUCCAUCCAGCAAUUUUUAAGGCUAUUAUGGAGGGGCAUAAUUUAGUCAAAGGCAUCUCACCAUUUACGUUUUGGCAAAUAAAACAUCUUCAUGUGGGAACAAAGUCAUGUGG